UUUGCACUGUGGUGUUUCUCAUUCAGCAGCUGCCCCAGAGCCCUGCAGAGCGAGCAGCGGGUGAUGCGCAGCGAGCUCGGAGGAUGGGCAUGGCCGGGCAUCGUGGGACAGUGUGGCUUCUUCCCGCUGUGCUCCUUGUCCUUCAGAUGAGGCAGACAGUCAUACCAAGUGAUGCAAGGUCAACUUGAGAACUCUGAGCAAUUCUGAAAAACUGAAGAGGAAUCAUAAGUUCCUGUGCUGCUGGCUAUGCCCUGGGCAAUGAAAAAACCUGUGUUUCUGUAGGUACAAACCCAGCUCCCACACAAAGGUUCAGAAAUCAUGAACUAGAGGGCAGAAAGUCACGGGACUCACAGCAAACCCAGAUGCCCAUCCUGAAAAUGAGGAUUCCACUGAGGUCUUGAGCAGACAGUUGAAGAUCACCAGGGAGGCUGGCAUUCACCCAGCAUGUGCCCCUGGCAGGCAAGGAGCCUGGACUGGCAGAUCAUGCUCAUCCAGCCCUGGGCCUGAGAGGGCCAGGCUUCCCUGGUGUCAGAAUUUUGGGUGGGUUAUUCCACUCUCCUGAGUACUGUGCUUCUGCACAGGCCUCCAGCCCUGAAUGAACUUGUGUCUCCAUUUCAGCAUCAAGCAAGUGCAGCCCAGGGCAGAAGUGGUUGCAGGUAUGGCAUUGUUGGUUAGGGGCUCCUCAUUGUGCCCUUUACUAUAAAAAUAAGAAACUGUCCCACGUUUUAUUCUCCAUAUGUGAGACACAGAAUUCUAGCAGAGUUUUUCUUACCCUCUUCUUGCUCCUCACUGCCUCAUUUUAUCUCUUGACUAAUAGUGAAAUACAUGGCUGAAUUUAUAGAAUAGACAGUUUCUUUAAGCUUGGCUUGACCUAGUGUAUUUUGUAUAAGUUAGAAGCCAAAUAUAGACUAGGGGUGUAUGUGGGCAGGUAAGGUCGAGCUGAUGUAGUUAAAUUGGUGUGAUAUUACAACUUUAUGCAAUUUCCUGUGUUGGCCAAACACUGAAGAAUUCCAGAUGUCUCAUUCAGAUAUUAGCAAUAACUGUUUCGACAGCAUGUAGAUAUUGUUUUGGGACUGUGCCUUACUUGAAACCUCAAAUAUAAUAUUUACUAUUGUUGUUUAUUAAAAAGUAGUUUAUCACAAAUUCUAGGCACUGAAAAUUGGUGUUCUGAGUCAUAAAAUUUGUACUCAAGCUACCAGAGUAAAGCAAAAAUUGUAGUUGCCUUAGCUCCAAUUGCCUGACCCUUUAAUUCCCAAAGAGUCUUCACACAAAUUGAGGAAGACCAAACAUAGGAGUGAAUUUGUAGAUUUUUUGUAUGCAGAAUGCUGAAGUUUUAAAAGACAAUAAGUAUCUAUUUUCUGUUUAAGUCUGACUAUAUUGCUCUACAAAUGAGGCAAAAUCCUUCUGAGUUGAGGUUUGUCUAUCAUGAGGGCCAUAGCAGUACUGCAAUGAAGUCCAAAAUAUUUUAUCAAAGUUUUCAUUGAAAGCAUUAUUCUGAUUGAAAACUUCUGAUUUUCUACUUGUUUGACAUUUUGUCAGCCCUCUAAAACCUCUCCAAAAUGGGUAUGAUUUGCUUCAGCUUCAGGACACAGGACUGGUCCAUUUUAUUUGUACGUCUCAUUACCUAUAUAGAGUGCAAGGAACUUUGGUCCCUUCUAUUAUUGAUUUGCCUUAGACUUGUUGGUAUUGUCUUAUUAGCAAAUAUUUUCAUUAUCUGACACAGGGAUGGCAGACAAGGAAAGGUAAGAGCCAAUGCACAGAGUGAAAAAAAUGUGUGGCCAUGCUGAAUUGGGCACAGAAACUUUCAGCAGCAACAGCAGCACGGUCUUUCUCAAAUUGGAGAAACCUGUCACAUUUUCUGAGAAUGUUGUCCCAGCAUGCCUUCCAGAAGAUUUUGCUAGAUAUGUUCUUGUGGAAGAGGUUUUAGAGUGGCUUCUGUGAGCCAGAGAGGUUUGAUAAGAGGAUCCGUGUUUACCCCUGAAAGAAUUUUCUACCAAGGCCAUUGACAUAAAAAUCAAGAAAGAAAGAAGGAUAAAUAAGAGAAACCUGCAACUGCCUGCUCCAAUAAGCACUUUGUUUGUCUUGACCAAUGAGUAAAGUGUAACUUAUGAAUCUUGUAAGAAUGUAUAAAAAGCAGGCAUGCUAUAAUAAACUCGGUUUGAAGCCUUCUGAAAAUGGAGUGUUGCUUUGUAUUGUGACAGUCUCAACUAUGACGAAUUCUGAUGAAUUAAUUGGAAUUGUCAGUGGCUUGGAGAACAUGCAUUCAGAAAAAACCCCUAGAAAAUGCAAAACCCACUCAUGUAUCCAGAAGAGUGUAAUUAACUGUGCAUGUCACAGAGUGAAAUGAGUUGUUACAUGAAGUUCCUUGAAUUGGAAAGCCUUGCUUGCUGUCACCAAAAUCACUGCUGUUCUGAUAGCUUCUCACUUUCUUCCUAAAAUACUUCCUUCACCAGAAUUAUUGAUAAAAUGGUUUUGGCUAUCAUAAAGUGAAUGCAUUGCAUACCCCAGAAAUUACAAUAUUGUUAUAUGUUAUUAUUUACAUUAUGUAAAUCAUUCACAACUGAAAAAAUUUUAAAUCUGCAAGGGUAAUUAAUA